GAUGAACGCUGGCGGCGUGCCUAAUACAUGCAAGUCGAGCGAACGGACGAGAAGCUUGCUUCUCUGAUGUUAGCGGCGGACGGGUGAGUAACACGUGGAUAACCUACCUAUAAGACUGGGAUAACUUCGGGAAACCGGAGCUAAUACCGGAUAGUAUUUUGAACCGCAUGGUUCAAAAGUGAAGGACGGUCUUGCUGUCACUUAUAGAUGGAUCCGCGCUGCAUUAGCUAGUUGGUAAGGUAACGGCUUACCAAGGCAACGAUGCAUAGCCGACCUGAGAGGGUGAUCGGCCACACUGGAACUGAGACACGGUCCAGACUCCUACGGGAGGCAGCAGUAGGGAAUCUUCCGCAAUGGGCGAAAGCCUGACGGAGCAACGCCGCGUGAGUGAUGAAGGUCUUCGGAUCGUAAAACUCUGUUAUUAGGGAAGAACAUAUGUGUAAGUAACUGUGCACAUCUUGACGGUACCUAAUCAGAAAGCCACGGCUAACUACGUGCCAGCAGCCGCGGUAAUACGUAGGUGGCAAGCGUUAUCCGGAAUUAUUGGGCGUAAAGCGCGCGUAGGCGGUUUUUUAAGUCUGAUGUGAAAGCCCACGGCUCAACCGUGGAGGGUCAUUGGAAACUGGAAAACUUGAGUGCAGAAGAGGAAAGUGGAAUUCCAUGUGUAGCGGUGAAAUGCGCAGAGAUAUGGAGGAACACCAGUGGCGAAGGCGACUUUCUGGUCUGUAACUGACGCUGAUGUGCGAAAGCGUGGGGAUCAAACAGGAUUAGAUACCCUGGUAGUCCACGCCGUAAACGAUGAGUGCUAAGUGUUAGGGGGUUUCCGCCCCUUAGUGCUGCAGCUAACGCAUUAAGCACUCCGCCUGGGGAGUACGACCGCAAGGUUGAAACUCAAAGGAAUUGACGGGGACCCGCACAAGCGGUGGAGCAUGUGGUUUAAUUCGAAGCAACGCGAAGAACCUUACCAAAUCUUGACAUCCUUUGACAACUCUAGAGAUAGAGCCUUCCCCUUCGGGGGACAAAGUGACAGGUGGUGCAUGGUUGUCGUCAGCUCGUGUCGUGAGAUGUUGGGUUAAGUCCCGCAACGAGCGCAACCCUUAAGCUUAGUUGCCAUCAUUAAGUUGGGCACUCUAAGUUGACUGCCGGUGACAAACCGGAGGAAGGUGGGGAUGACGUCAAAUCAUCAUGCCCCUUAUGAUUUGGGCUACACACGUGCUACAAUGGACAAUACAAAGGGCAGCGAAACCGCGAGGUCAAGCAAAUCCCAUAAAGUUGUUCUCAGUUCGGAUUGUAGUCUGCAACUCGACUACAUGAAGCUGGAAUCGCUAGUAAUCGUAGAUCAGCAUGCUACGGUGAAUACGUUCCCGGGUCU
rnacentral:rRNA from 1 species